rnacentral:ncRNA from 1 species
GAGAGCCGUGUGAUGGGUGACUAUCUAGCACGGUUCAGAGAGCACGUGUAUGUAGUCUCAACCUUAGUCUAU